AAAGGGAUGCUCCGAAAACCUUGUAAUAGAGUAGGUA
rfam:Fabibacter misakiensis strain SK-8 scaffold5_cov71_read188, whole genome shotgun sequence.